rnacentral:tRNA from 2 species
AGUCUAUUAGCUCAGUUGGCUAGAGUGCUUGCUUGUCACGCAAGAGGUCGCGAGUUCGAAUCUCGUAUAGACUGCAA